UACGAAGGGGGCUAGCGUUGCUCGGAAUCACUGGGCGUAAAGCGCACGUAGGCGGAUUGUUAAGUCAGGGGUGAAAUCCUGGAGCUCAACUCCAGAACUGCCUUUGAUACUGGCGAUCUCGAGUCCGGGAGAGGUGAGUGGAACUGCGAGUGUAGAGGUGAAAUUCGUAGAUAUUCGGAAGAACACCAGUGGCGAAGGCGACUUACUGGACACAUAUUGACGCUGAGGUGCGAAAGCGUGGGGAGCAAACAGGG
rnacentral:rRNA from 1 species